AUCCUGGCUCAGAUUGAACGCUGGCGGCAUGCCUUACACAUGCAAGUCGAACGGUAACAGGUCUUCGGACGCUGACGAGUGGCGAACGGGUGAGUAAUACAUCGGAACGUGCCCAGUCGUGGGGGAUAACUACUCGAAAGAGUAGCUAAUACCGCAUACGAUCUGAGGAUGAAAGCGGGGGACCUUCGGGCCUCGCGCGAUUGGAGCGGCCGAUGGCAGAUUAGGUAGUUGGUGGGAUAAAAGCUUACCAAGCCGACGAUCUGUAGCUGGUCUGAGAGGACGACCAGCCACACUGGGACUGAGACACGGCCCAGACUCCUACGGGAGGCAGCAGUGGGGAAUUUUGGACAAUGGGCGAAAGCCUGAUCCAGCAAUGCCGCGUGCAGGAUGAAGGCCUUCGGGUUGUAAACUGCUUUUGUACGGAACGAAAAAGCUCCUUCUAAUACAGGGGGCCCAUGACGGUACCGUAAGAAUAAGCACCGGCUAACUACUGG
rnacentral:rRNA from 1 species